rnacentral:rRNA from 1 species
AACACAUGCAAGUCGAGCGGAUGAAGGGAGCUUGCUCCUGGAUUCAGCGGCGGACGGGUGAGUAAUGCCUAGGAAUCUGCCUGGUAGUGGGGGAUAACGUCCGGAAACGGGCGCUAAUACCGCAUACGUCCUGAGGGAGAAAGUGGGGGAUCUUCGGACCUCACGCUAUCAGAUGAGCCUAGGUCGGAUUAGCUAGUUGGUGGGGUAAAGGCCUACCAAGGCGACGAUCCGUAACUGGUCUGAGAGGAUGAUCAGUCACACUGGAACUGAGACACGGUCCAGACUCCUACGGGAGGCAGCAGUGGGGAAUAUUGGACAAUGGGCGAAAGCCUGAUCCAGCCAUGCCGCGUGUGUGAAGAAGGUCUUCGGAUUGUAAAGCACUUUAAGUUGGGAGGAAGGGCAGUAAGUUAAUACCUUGCUGUUUUGACGUUACCAACAGAAUAAGCACCGGCUAACUUCGUGCCAGCAGCCGCGGUAAUACGAAGGGUGCAAGCGUUAAUCGGAAUUACUGGGCGUAAAGCGCGCGUAGGUGGUUCAGCAAGUUGGAUGUGAAAUCCCCGGGCUCAACCUGGGAACUGCAUCCAAAACUACUGAGCUAGAGUACGGUAGAGGGUGGUGGAAUUUCCUGUGUAGCGGUGAAAUGCGUAGAUAUAGGAAGGAAUACCAGUGGCGAAGGCGACCACCUGGACUGAUACUGACACUGAGGCGCGAAAGCGUGGGGAGCAAACAGGAUUAGAUACCCUGGUAGUCCACGCCGUAAACGAUGUCGACUAGCCGUUGGGAUCCUUGAGAUCUUAGUGGCGCGGCUAACGCGAUAAGUCGACCGCCUGGGGAG